rnacentral:rRNA from 1 species
UACGUAGGGUGCGAGCGUUACUCGGAAUUACUGGGCGUAAAGCGUGCGCAGGCGGUUCGUUGUGUCGGCGGUGAAAGCCCCGGGCUUAACCUGGGAAUGGCCGUCGAAACUGGCGAACUGGAGUGUGGCAGAGGGGGGUGGAAUUCCGCGUGUAGCAGUGAAAUGCGUAGAGAUGCGGAGGAACACCGAUGGCGAAGGCAGCCCCCUGGGCUGACACUGACGCUCAGGCACGAAAGCGUGGGGAGCAAACAGG